GCUUGCAUAGUGUAGUGGUUAUCACGCAUCCUUUACACGGAUGAGGUCUCCGGGUUCGAACCCGGAUGAAAGCA
rnacentral:tRNA from 1 species